rnacentral:lncRNA from 1 species
GAUGCUCCAUCUCUUCAUGAAAGCACUUUGCGCGUUGGAGAUAAGAUUGUUCAUGUGGCAGCGCAGUCUGUUCGCAAGGACCUUUGCAAUGAUCUUUCUCAUGGCGUGAAUGAGGAUAAUUGACAUGUAGUCUCAUAUCCCCUCUGCGCCUUCUUUUUUUUGGCAAAAGUACAACAUUGGUUGAAUUAAGCGAGUGAAGGUUGGCACCCUCGAGAUCCUCGAAGGGAUGGACCACG